CUUGACACUGAACAUUGAGCCUUGAUGUGUAGGAUAGGUGGGAGGCUUUGAAGCGUGGACGCCAGUCUGCGUGGAGCCAACCUUGAAAUACCACCCUUUAAUGUUUGAUGUUCUAACGUUGGCCCCUUACCGGGGUUGCGGACAGUGUCUGGUGGGUAGUUUGACUGGGGCGGUCUCCUCCCAAAGCGUAACGGAGGAGCACGAAGGUUAGCUAAUCCUGGUCGGACAUCAGGAGGUUAGUGCAAUGGCAUAAGCUAGCUUGACUGCGAGCGUGACGGCGCGAGCAGGUGCGAAAGCAGGUCAUAGUGAUCCGGUGGUUCUGAAUGGAAGGGCCAUCGCUCAACGGAUAAAAGGUACUCCGGGGAUAACAGGCUGAUACCGCCCAAGAGUUCAUAUCGACGGCGGUGUUUGGCACCUCGAUGUCGGCUCAUCACAUCCUGGGGCUGAAGUAGGUCCCAAGGGUAUGGCUGUUCGCCAUUUAAAGUGGUACGCGAGCUGGGUUUAGAACGUCGUGAGACAGUUCGGUCCCUAUCUGCCGUGGGCGCUGGAGAAUUGAGGGGGGCUGCUCCUAGUACGAGAGGACCGGAGUGGACGCAUCACUGGUGUUCGGGUUGUCAUGCCAAUGGCACUGCCCGGUAGCUAAAUGCGGAAGAGAUAAGUGCUGAAAGCAUCUAAGCACGAAACUUGCCCCGAGAUGAGUUCUCCCUGAGACUUUAAGUCUCCUGAAGGAACGUUAAAGACGAUGACGUUGAUAGGCCGGGUGUGUAAGCGCAGCGAUGCGUUGAGCUAACCGGUACUAAUGAACCGUGAGGCUUAACCUU
rnacentral:rRNA from 1 species